rnacentral:rRNA from 1 species
CCUACGGGUGGCUGCAGUGGGGAAUAUUGCACAAUGGGCGGAAGCCUGAUGCAGCAACGCCGCGUGGGGGAUGACGGCCUUCGGGUUGUAAACCUCUUUUGUCCAGGAAGAAGCCUUCGGGUGACGGUACUGGGAGAAAAAGGACCGGCUAACUACGUGCCAGCAGCCGCGGUAAUACGUAGGGUCCGAGCGUUGUCCGGAAUUAUUGGGCGUAAAGAGCUCGUAGGCGGUUCGUCGCGUCUGCUGUGAAAACCUCAGGCUCAACCUGGGGCGUG